rnacentral:rRNA from 1 species
GACGAACGCUGGCGGCGUGCCUAAUACAUGCAAGUAGAACGCACAGUUUAUACCGUAGCUUGCUACACCAUAGACUGUGAGUUGCGAACGGGUGAGUAACGCGUAGGUAACCUGCCUGGUAGCGGGGGAUAACUAUUGGAAACGAUAGCUAAUACCGCAUAAUAUUGAUUAUUGCAUGAUAAUUGAUUGAAAGAUGCUAUUGCAUCACUACCAGAUGGACCUGCGUUGUAUUAGCUAGUAGGUGAGGUAACGGCUCACCUAGGCGACGAUACAUAGCCGACCUGGGGAGGGGAACGGCCCAACUGGGACUGAGACACGGCCCAGGCUCCUUCGGGGAGCAGCAGUAGGGAAACUUCGGCAAUGGACGGAAGUCUGACCGAGGAACGCCGCGUGAGUGAAGAAGGUUUUCGGAUCGUAAAGCUCUGUUGUAAGAGAAGAACGGGUGUGAGAGUGGAAAGUUCACACUGUGACGGUAUCUUACCAGAAAGGGACGGCUAACUACGUG